rnacentral:rRNA from 1 species
CAGGCCUAACACAUGCAAGUCGAGCGCGCCUUCGGGUGAGCGGCGGACGGGUUAGUAACGCGUGGGAACGUGCCCAGAUCUGCGGAAUAGCCACUGGAAACGGUGAGUAAUACCGCAUACGCCCUUCGGGGGAAAGAUUUAUCGGAUUUGGAUCGGCCCGCGUUAGAUUAGGUAGUUGGUGGGGUAAUGGCCUACCAAGCCUACGAUCUAUAGCUGGUUUUAGAGGAUGAUCAGCAACACUGGGACUGAGACACGGACCAGACUCCUACGGGAGGCAGCAGUGGGGAAUCUUAGACAAUGGGGGCAACCCUGAUCUAGCCAUGCCGCGUGAGUGAUGAAGGCCCUAGGGUCGUAAAGCUCUUUCGCCUGUGAUGAUAAUGACAGUAGCAGGUAAAGAAACCCCGGCUAACUCCGUGCCAGCAGCCGCGGUAAUACGGAGGGGGUUAGCGUUGUUCGGAAUUACUGGGCGUAAAGCGCGCGUAGGCGGAUCAGAAAGUUGGGGGUGAAAUCCCGGGGCUCAAACCCGGAACUGCCUCCAAAACUCCUGGUCUUGAGUACGAGAGAGGUGAGUGGAAUUCCGAGUGUACGAGGUGAAAAUUCGUAGAUAUUCGGAGGAACAC